rnacentral:lncRNA from 1 species
CACAGUGGGUUUUCACAGGCAGCCUUUGUCCUGAUACCAGGUCAGCUCUGCUUGUACCAUUUUCCUCUGCUUGGGCAGCCUGACAGCUCUGACAGUCAGGAGCCUGAGUCACCCUCAUGAAUGCGCAUGUGCUAAUCUUAAGUUAUCAGGCCCCAUUGCAAGCUUUGUCAAAGGUCACAAAGAAGGUCCCCUUUGCCUAGAGAUAAGUCCCUGCCUCUUGGUGGAGAAGGAGACCUCUGUGGAGGUGCAUCAGUGGUAUAUUCUCACCUGUCUUCUCUGUGAAAUCCAUGAAUAGUCUCAUGAUCCUAGGAGAGAGCCUGAGACUUGAAAGAGAAGGAGAUUUCCAUGGAGGUGUGUUGGCAGUGGAACUAGGCCUGUGUUCUCUGUGGAAUCCACAGGAAAGUCCUAGAAAUGGGAAAACAUGAGACAGAGUGAGGAAACAUCAACAAGAGCCCCAGGAAUAAAUGGCGAUAUGUCUAGGGAUCCAAAAGGAUUUGCAGGAUUCAUCAGGCUUGCCUAGAGGUUGUAGAGGAAUCAUCGAACAUUGUUUGGAUUCCAGCACAAGGCAUCUUGUUCUUUCAGUGACAAGUCCCUGCAACUUGGAGAAGAAGGGCACCUCCUUACAUUUUCAUCACCCGUGGACUCCAGCCUCUCUUCUCUGUAAGAUAGAUAGAUUAGUCCCAUGAUUCCAAGAGAGGACAGAUGUGAGAGUCUGAAGAAAUAUGAAGCAC